AAGUGCUGAACCAAUAAUUGAAUUCAUAGCUGCAUCUACCUCAACUAGCGUGGAGGAUAAUAAAGCUGAAACGAAAACAAGGCGAGGGAGGAAGCCAAAGAAGAAGGAUUAUAGUAUGGACUUUCAAUUUAGUAAAUCUGAAGUUAGUGAUGGUGAAAAUUCCUUACUCAUUGGGAAUGAUGAUGAGUGUGAUGAGGAAUUGGAUUUGGGUAUU
rnacentral:misc_RNA from 1 species